rnacentral:rRNA from 1 species
GAUGAACGCUGGCGGCGUGCCUAAUACAUGCAAGUCGAGCGAACAGACGAGGAGCUUGCUCCUCUGACGUUAGCGGCGGACGGGUGAGUAACACGUGGAUAACCUACCUAUAAGACUGGGAUAACUUCGGGAAACCGGAGCUAAUACCGGAUAAUAUAUUGAACCGCAUGGUUCAAUAGUGAAAGACGGUUUUGCUGUCACUUAUAGAUGGAUCCGCGCCGCAUUAGCUAGUUGGUAAGGUAACAGCUUACCAAGGCAACGAUGCGUAGCCGACCUGAGAGGGUGAUCGGCCACACUGGAACUGAGACACGGUCCAGACUCCUACGGGAGGCAGCAGUAGAGAAUCUUCCGCAAUGGGCGAAAGCCUGACGGAGCAACGCCGCGUGAGUGAUGAAGGUCUUCGGAUCGUAAAACUCUGUUAUUAGGGAAGAACAAAUGUGUAAGUAACUAUGCACGUCUUGACGGUACCUAAUCAGAAAGCCACGGCUAACUACGUG